AUGCCAGGUCAGGAUCAAGCUCAGCAUCCAAUAUUAACCAGCGUUACAGCUUAACUUUUGGACCUGGGACUUACUAUCACUCCAGAACCCACUACGGUGGUUGAACAUUCUACACCCUUGAAGAAGACUCUAGUUCCUCCAAAGCACCCUAAGGUGACACUUCCACAUCCAGACCAGGUUCAGACUCACCAUUCAAACCUGACUCAAGCCAUAGUUCAACCUUUGGAUCUGGAAUUUACCUUAGCUCCAGAAUCCACUAUGGAGGUUGAACCUUCUCCAACCAUGCAGAAGACCCUAACUUGGUCUCUAGAGCUACGUAAGGAGGUUGUAGCUCAACCUCCUGUAUAUUAUGAGAUGUAUGUGCCAACACCAGGCCAGGAUCAAGCUCAGCAUCCAACAUCACCCAGCGUCACAGUUCAACCUUUGGAUCUAGGGCUUAUCAUCACUCCAGAAUCUAUUACAGAGGUUGAAACUUCUAUAGCCCUGAUGACUACAGCUCCUCCUCCAGAGCACCUUGAGGUGACACUUCCACCUCCAGACAAGGGCCAGACUCAGCAUUCAAACCUGACUCAAGUCACAGUUCAACCUCUGGACCUGGAGCUUACCAUAACUACAGAACCUACUAUAGAGGUUAAACCAUCUCCAACCAUGGAGGAGACCUCAACUCAGCCUCCAGACCUGGGGUUUGCCAUCACUCCAGAACCCACUGCAGAGAUUGGACAUUCUACAGCCCUGGAGAAGACUACAGCUCCUUGUCCAGACCAGGUUCAGACUCUGCAUCGAAGCCUGACUGAAGUCACAGGUCCACCUACUGAACUAGAAUCUACUCAGGAUUCAUUGAUGCAGUCUGAAAGUUACCCCCAAAAUAAGGCUUUAACUGCACCAGAGGAACAGAAGGCCUCCACAAGCACCAACAUAUGUGAGCUCUGUACCUGCGGAGAUGAGAUGCUCUCAUGUAUUGAUCUCAGCCCAAAGCAGAGGCUCUGCUGAGUGCCUGUGCCAGAGCCCAAUGCCUACAAUGGCACCUUCAC